UACAAUAAUGAUUUCAAAAGUAGUGUAUAGUGCAAUUUUAAAUGUUGUGCCAUAUGAACAAAAGUGCCAUUACAUUUGUUCUGCAAACAUUUAACAUCAGCAUUUUGUUUAUAAAGUAGCA